AAAAACUCAAUUUCUGGGUUUCUGUGUCUAACGUUUGACUGUUUGUCUUAUUUGAAAAAAAUAUGAAAAAAUUUAAAAAGGUAAGCCAUGCAUAAAGUAUUAUUCAUGUUUUAUCAUCCAACAAUAAUGAAAAUACUAUUCAUAAAAAAAAUCAUAUAAGACGGACGGUCAAACAUUGGAUACGAAAACC
rfam:Oryza sativa Japonica Group DNA, chromosome 10, cultivar: Nipponbare, complete sequence.